rnacentral:rRNA from 1 species
ACGAACGCUGGCGGCAGGCCUAACACAUGCAAGUCGCGCGAGGACUUCGGUUCUAGCGGCGGACGGGUGAGUAACGCGUGGGAAUGUGCCCUUCUCUACGGAAUAGCCCUGGGAAACUGGGAGUAAUACCGUAUACGCCCUAUUGGGGAAAGAUUUAUCGGAGAAGGAUCAGCCCGCGUUGGAUUAGGUAGUUGGUGGGGUAAUGGCCUACCAAGCCGACGAUCCGUAGCUGGUUUGAGAGGAUGAUCAGCCACACUGGGACUGAGACACGGCCCAGACUCCUACGGGAGGCAGCAGUGGGGAAUCUUAGACAAUGGGGGCAACCCUGAUCUAGCCAUGCCGCGUGAGUGAUGAAGGCCUUAGGGUUGUAAAGCUCUUUCAGCUGGGAAGAUAAUGACGGUACCAGCAGAAGAAGCCCCGGCUAACUCCGUG